GCCCGGAUGGCGAAAUUGGUAGACGCAAGGGACUUAAAAUCCCUCGACCGUUAGGUCGUGUCGGUUCAAGUCCGACUCCGGGCA
rnacentral:tRNA from 1 species